GAAAAAAAAACGACAGCUUUGAACAAAAGUCCACAGCCAGUGUGUUCCAAGUCCCUGCUCAGGGCUGACUGUGGCAGGGGACACUCUCCUGCUGGCUCUCUCUGUCCACACUUAGCUGGCUCCUGUCCUCAGGUGCACGGCCACACCCUCGCACCCAACCUUGAUCCUCUGAUGGGGAAGGUCCCAGGACUUGUCUGCUGGGACAGGCCUCACCCCCAAGAGCUCUGGGCAGUACCGAGAAGGGGAUUGCAGAGGCAAAGCUAGACUAGGUCUUGGAGGCUGGUGUAAGGUGGUGCGCGGAAGGCAGGACGCUGAUGGGAGAGACUGGUCGAAGAAAAGCCUAAAUGGAUUCUCCGUGCUUUGGAUGGAGAAAGAGGGGGGAAGUGCGAGCUCCUUCAACUCGUUCUGUCCGGUGAGGAGUGAUCCAGCUUGGGCUGACGAGAGGCUCCGGAGCCUUCACGUUCAGUGCUUUUUACCUGCCAAUCAAACUGCUACAAGACAACACCCUGAUCUGGCAUGGUCGCAUCGAACCUAGAAAUUGUACUUUCCUCAAGAUCCGCUUAAGAGAAUCUGGUUGAUGGCUUUGGUCUGAGAGUUCAGACAUCUCUUGUGCAACUAAGAAAGACCUCAUUUUCCAUUUGCUGGAUCCUCCUGGUUUGUCAUCCCUGAGUCCUGUAAGAAGCUCAUCAGGAGGUCCCCUGCGCCGGAAG
ensembl:processed_transcript